rnacentral:rRNA from 1 species
GGGCCCGCACAAGCGGUGGAGUAUGUGGUUUAAUUCGAUGCAACGCGAAGAACCUUACCAGGGUUUGACAUCCUGCGAAUCUCUUGGAAACAGGAGAGUGCCUUCGGGAACGCAGUGACAGGUGGUGCAUGGCUGUCGUCAGCUCGUGUCGUGAGAUGUUGGGUUAAGUCCCGCAACGAGCGCAACCCACGUCUUUAGUUGCCAGCAUUUAGUUGGGCACUCUAGAGAGACUGCCGGUGAUAAACCGGAGGAAGGUGUGGAUGACGUCAAGUCAUCAUGCCCCUUACAUCCUGGGCUACACACGUACUACAAUGGCCGGUACAGAGGGCUGCAAUACCGUAAGGUGGAG